CUACGGGGCGCACCAGUGGGGAAUAUUGGACAAUGGGGGAAACCCUGAUCCAGCAAUGCCGCGUGUGUGAAGAAGGCCUGCGGGUUGUAAAGCACUUUCGGUUGGGAGGACUGCUUCUAGCACUAAUAUUGUUGGAAGUUGACGUUACCUUCAGAAGAAGCACCGGCUAACUCCGUGCCAGCAGCCGCGGUAAUAGCGGAGGGUGCAAGCGUUAAUCGGAAUUACUGGGCGUAAAGCGCGCGUAGGCGGCUAGAUAAGUCGGGUGUGAAAGCCCCGGGCUUAACCUGGGAACUGCAUCCGAUACUGGUUAGCUUGAGUACAGGAGAGGAGAGUGGAAUUCCACAUGUAGCGGUGAAAUGCGUAGAUAUGUGGAGGAACACCAAUGGCGAAGGCAGCUCUCUGGCCUGAUACUGACGCUGAGGUGCGAAAGCGUGGGGAGCAAACAGGAUUAGAUACCCGCGUAGUC
rnacentral:rRNA from 1 species